rnacentral:lncRNA from 1 species
CUACACAAGAAGAUAAAGUCAUGCAUGGGAUAUCUUCACAAACACAAUGAGAAUCUCAGAAGCUAUAGAAUGUCUGACACAUACAAAAAGAAAGAAAGAAAAGACAGAAAGAAAAGAAAGAGAAAGAAGAAAGAAAAAGAAAGAAAGAAAGAAAAAGAAAGAAAGAAAGAAAAAGAGAGGAAAGAAAGGAAAGAAAGAAAGAAAGACAGAGAAAGAAAGAAAGAAAUCUGAAUUCAGGAC